CCCCUGCCUCUGGCCGCGCGGAUCAGCUUCCAGCCCAGUCGGCCCGGCCCGGGGGCCAUGGAGCUCCGAGCGGCGGAUCGCGAGCCUCCUGCGAACCCCAGCCUGCACGCCCGGUUAGCAUUCGGCCGGGAGAUGCGGCAGUGGAAUCUGGAAGGGCGGUGAAAAACCUACGUCCUGCCCUCGCCCGGCCUCUCCAUUCGUCCCCCGGGUAGAGAGGGUCGGCUCGUGCUCAUCAUCCUGUGCUCCGUGGUCUUCUCUGCCGUCUACAUCCUCCUGUGCUGCUGGGCCGGCCUGCCCCUCUGCCUGGCCACCUGCCUGGACCACCACUUCCCCACAGGCUCCAGGCCCACUGUGCCGGGACCCCUGCACUUCAGUGGAUAUAGCAGUGUGCCAGAUGGGAAGCCGCUGGUCCGCGAGCCCUGCCGCAGCUGUGCCGUGGUGUCCAGCUCCGGCCAAAUGCUGGGCUCAGGCCUGGGUGCUGAGAUCGACAGUGCCGAGUGCGUGUUCCGCAUGAACCAGGCGCCCACCGUGGGCUUUGAGGCGGAUGUGGGCCAGCGCAGCACCCUGCGUGUCGUCUCACACACAAGCGUGCCGCUGCUGCUGCGCAACUAUUCACACUACUUCCAGAAGGCCCGAGACACGCUCUACAUGGUGUGGGGCCAGGGCAGGCACAUGGACCGGGUGCUCGGCGGCCGCACCUACCGCACGCUGCUGCAGCUCACCAGGAUGUACCCCGGCCUGCAGGUGUACACCUUCACGGAGCGCAUGAUGGCCUACUGCGACCAGAUCUUCCAGGACGAGACGGGCAAGAACCGGUGUGAACCCACAUCCCUGCCCCCAGGGCCACCUGCAGGACGCCGACACCUACCCCUCAGCAGACGCCGGAGAGAAAUGAGUAGCAACAAAGAGCAGCGGUCAGCAGUGUUCGUGAUCCUCUUUGCCCUCAUCACCAUCCUCAUCCUCUACAGCUCCAACAGUGCCAAUGAGGUCUUCCAUUACGGCUCCCUGCGGGGCCGUAGCCGCCGACCUGUCAACCUCAAGAAGUGGAGCAUCACUGACGGCUAUGUCCCCAUUCUCGGCAACAAGACACUGCCCUCUCGGUGCCACCAGUGUGUGAUUGUCAGCAGCUCCAGCCACCUGCUGGGCACCAAGCUGGGCCCUGAGAUCGAGCGGGCUGAGUGUACAAUCCGCAUGAAUGAUGCACCCACCACUGGCUACUCAGCUGAUGUGGGCAACAAGACCACCUACCGCGUCGUGGCCCAUUCCAGUGUGUUCCGCGUGCUGAGGAGGCCCCAGGAGUUUGUCAACCGGACCCCUGAAACCGUGUUCAUCUUCUGGGGGCCCCCGAGCAAGAUGCAGAAGCCCCAGGGCAGCCUCGUGCGUGUGAUCCAGCGAGCGGGCCUGGUGUUCCCCAACAUGGAAGCAUAUGCCGUCUCUCCCGGCCGCAUGCGGCAAUUUGACGACCUCUUCCGGGGUGAGACGGGCAAGGACAGGGAGAAGUCUCAUUCGUGGUUGAGCACAGGCUGGUUUACCAUGGUGAUCGCGGUGGAGUUGUGUGACCACGUGCAUGUCUAUGGCAUGGUCCCCCCCAACUACUGCAGCCAGCGGCCCCGCCUCCAGCGCAUGCCCUACCACUACUACGAGCCCAAGGGGCCGGACGAAUGUGUCACCUACAUCCAGAAUGAGCACAGUCGCAAGGGCAACCACCACCGCUUCAUCACCGAGAAAAGGGUCUUCUCAUCGUGGGCCCAGCUGUAUGGCAUCACCUUCUCCCACCCCUCCUGGACCUAGGCCACCCAGCCUGUGGGACCUCAGGAGGGUCAGAGGAGAAGCAGCCUCCGCCCAGCCGCUAGGCCAGGGACCAUCUUCUGGCCAAUCAAGGCUUGCUGGAGUGUCUCCCAGCCAAUCAGGGCCUUGAGGAGGAUGUAUCCUCCAGCCAAUCAGGGCCUGGGGAAUCUGUUGGCGAAUCAGGGAUUUGGGAGUCUAUGCGGUUAAUCAGGGGUGUCUUUCUUGUGCAGUCAGGGUCUGCGCACAGUCAAUCAGGGUAGAGGGGGUAUUUCUGAGUCAAUCUGAGGCUAAGGACAUGUCCUUUCCCAUGAGGCCUUGGUUCAGAGCCCCAGGAAUGGACCCCCCAAUCACUCCCCACUCUCCUGGGAUAAUGGGGUCCUGUCCCAAGGAGCUGGGAACUUGGUGUUGCCCCCUCAAUUUCCAGCACCAGAAAGAGAGAUUGUGUGGGGGUAGAAGCUGUCUGGAGGCCCGGCCAGAGAAUUUGUGGGGUUGUGGAGGUUGUGGGGGCGGUGGGGAGGUCCCAGAGGUGGGAGGCCGGCAUCCAGGUCUUGGCUCUGCCCUGAGACCUUGGACAAACCCUUCCCCCUCUCUGGGCACCCUUCUGCCCACACCAGUUUCCAGUGCGGAGUCUGAGACCCUUUCCACCUCCCCUACAAGUGCCCUCGGGUCUGUCCUCCCCGUCUGGACCCUCCCAGCCACUAUCCCUUGCUGGAAGGCUCAGCUCUUUGGGGGGUCUGGGGUGACCUCCCCACCUCCUGGAAAACUUUAGGGUAUUUUUGCGCAAACUCCUUCAGGGUUGGGGGACUCUGAAGGAAACGGGACAAAACCUUAAGCUGUUUUCUUAGCCCCUCAGCCAGCUGCCAUUAGCUUGGCUCUUAAAGGGCCAGGCCUCCUUUUCUGCCCUCUAGCAGGGAGGUUUUCCAACUGUUGGAGGCGCCUUUGGGGCUGCCCCUUUGUCUGGAGUCACUGGGGGCUUCCGAGGGUCUCCCUCGACCCUCUGUCGUCCUGGGAUGGCUGUCGGGAGCUGUAUCACCUGGGUUCUGUCCCCUGGCUCUGUAUCAGGCACUUUAUUAAAGCUGGGCCUCAGUGGGGUGUGUUUGUCUCCUGCUCUUCUGGAGCCUGGAAGGAAAGGGCUUCAGGAGGAGGCUGUGAGGCUGGAGGGACCAGAUGGAGGAGGCCAGCAGCUAGCCAUUGCACACUGGGGUGAUGGGUGGGGGCGGUGACUGCCCCAGACUUGGUUUUGUAAUGAUUUGUACAGGAAUAAACACACCUACGCUCCGG
rnacentral:lncRNA from 1 species